AUGACCAUGUUGGAAGGAAGACAGAUACAAUCCAGCAUCGUUUUAUUGAUUUUUUUUUUUCCUUUUGGAAUUUAGAAGAAGUUGUUUAAGCCCUGGGUAGUGAGGUUGAGGUUUCUGUGUUUCUAAGUCAGCUUAUACCAUCGAAGGCUCCUUUUCAGUUUCAGAGGGACUUUUCCUUUGUGGACGAAGUUGGUGUUAGGUUCUCUCCACCGACAUAAGAAUGUAGCCAUCAAAUGUCCAUGGGUGUGAGUGUGUGUAGUGAGGACAAGCAAACCUCACGUCACCCUUGAUGUCAGCUCAGUGGCUAUGCGUGUAAGGAUGACCAUUCCUCUUUAGUGCUCUGGCUUAGCUUGUUUGUUUGUUUAUUUAUUUAUUUAUUUAUAUCCUGUGACUCUCAUAUUCAUCAUGAAAACAUACUCUGCAUGUUUGCUUCCUCCUGAUUAGAACAGGCAAGUUUUUUGUCAGCUCAUGGAUCUGGCUGGGAUCCAGGGUAGCUUCGCUGUUCUUUGUACCCUGCUUCAAGCCACAACUUCACACUGAUUGUAGCAGAUAUUUCUCAACUUUGAGAAUGAAGCUCACGGUUACCUCAGACUUCUCGGAGUUUGGCCUAGUCUACAUGCAUAACUCGUUUAAUUGGGCUCAUAACUAGAUUAAUUAGCUUGAGUUCUACCUGGCUGAGAUUGCGUGCUUCUCUGGGAACAGCUCUCUUUUGCAUCUUCUCAACACCUAAGCAUUCAGUAAAUUCCUGUCAGCUGAAUGACGGAAUGACUGCUGGCUGAAAACCAGGGAGUUAUGUAAAAAAGUGCCAAUAUGAUUGUGCUUAGACUCAAUCCAUUAACAGCUCAGCUGUUUGGGGAGAGAGCAGGACUCUGGCCAAAAGUUUAGAAUUUGAGAGAAACCUUUUAGAAUCUCAUCAGGAUCCAGGCUGUGUUCUUUGAUCAGUUAAGGGAGAAAAAAAAAAUAGCAAUUGUCAGGCAUAACCUGAGAAUUUGUGGAAAUCCUCCACCGAGAUGCCUGAACCCCAGCACUCCAGCAAAAGGGCUUCUCCCUCCUGUGGAUGAGAGACAAUGCGCUUCCGAUGCAGCCGGUGAUAUAAUUAAACUUUUGAACCACAUGUCUGACUUUCGGGCAAGAAAGUGGCUAAAGCCCUGUGUCUAACGUGAUUGAAGGGUGGAAUCCAAAGCGAGGCUCUUCCAACUAAUCUCUCCUUUCAAAAUUCUCUAGAAGCUGGCCUUCUAGGGGUCCAAAGUUUACAAUAAAACCCUUUUAUACUUAAAAUGUCAUCAAAAUACUAAGGCUAGCUCUUCCUGAAACACGAAGGGGGUAAGCCCGUCCAUUCUUUCCUCUUGACAUUUGGUCUAAUUCUAUCUCAGAUAAGUGGGUCUUGGAUGUAAUCCAGCUAGAAUGGGGGAUCCUUAAGUUUCUCUGUUUCCACGCGCUUUCUAUACCAGGAAGGGAAGGGUAUAUCCUCCUCCUUCUGCUUCGGCUUCCAUCAGGAAUACCCGAUAUUUAGAUUUCUUAGGAACUAUGAAAUGUUCCUAGGCACAACAUCCCCGCUGGGAUACGGUCUUCAUUUGGGAAUGGUAAAAUUCCCAUUUUCCCAGGCUACUUUCUCAAGCAAGGCUUGGGUUUUGUGUUUACAAUAGACUUGUUUCAGAGCGCCCAGGUGGUGGUGGGGGUGCCUUGGCUAGCUCCCUGGGGGAAAUUCUCAUCUGCAUUUAUGUUAGUCAUUUUGCAGGUGAAACGUAUUCUGAUUUACAUAUCACAAUCAGAUCUUGCUGCCAGCCAAGGGUGAAAGUCUGGUGCUAUUGGCUGCUAGAUCUUUUCAAAUGAAGAAUGAAAAAAAAAAUGCAGAUAUUAACUCUUUAGACAAAAGUCUCCGGGCCUCAGAUAGGUAGGCAGAAUGUAGGUUGGACAGGAUUUUAUCCUACCUUCCUAACAACAGCAACUGUUUUCCUGGGGUUUGGAAGGAGGAGGCUCAGGGUAUUUGGGGGAGUUCUCUGGCUAUGUUCUCUCAUCACCCUGGCGGAAAGAAUUUGGAAGUUAAAAAUUGUUAGUCUUUUUAAACAGCCAUUUUAUUUCCCCCUCACGAGCCUGUUCCAGAUAUGCUAGGUAGACAACAUUAAACUGGUUGAGUUGUGCCACCCAGCCUUUGUUCUUAUUGGUCAGUUUAUGGAAAAGCACUCGAAUUACUCUUUCUCUAAGACAAUGAAAAGAAAUGUCAACGUGGCUCCUGAUGAUGGAAUUUUUAGAUGUAAUUGUUUUCUAUUUAGCAUGUUUCAGAAUUGAUUUUUACGAAUAGGGCUGCAGAUUAACCUUUCUGUAACAGACUGGAAAAAUGAUCACUUGAAAACAGGGUGCCCCCUAAUAGCGUUCUUUGUGGCAAUCAGGGAUAAUCUGCUUGUGGGCAGUCAUGUUAUUAGCUCAUUUCCUUAAGCUGUUUCUGAAACUCGUUAUCUGAUUGCCAUGAUGGUCCCAGCUAUUGGGUUGGAGUACAGUCCCUUCACAUGUAACUUUUUGUUUUUGUUUUUGUUUUUGUGUUUUUGCUUAAAGUAAUUAUGAUAAUGGUAAUGGAAGAGAUAUUUCUGUGAGUACACAGUAGUGAGACUACAAGACAAGAAAAUAGCCAUUUGGAAGAACUCAGUUUUGAACUCUGCCAAUGUGUUUAGAGAACUGUGUGCUUUGCCUAGAUGAGAUCUGGGCUGUCACCAUUAAUGGCAUCCUUGGGUGAGUGUUUUAUACGACCAUUAAAUUACUGUUUGUCCAGCAUUUCCUCCUUUAGGAAAUGAAGUGGUGUGCAGAAAAUAAAUUAAAUAAAUCCUCUCCCCUCCUUUUUAUGGCCUUUGUGGUUUCCACAAAAACUUUUAUUUCUGGGGACCUCAAAGUAUAUUUGCUGUUGGCAAAUGUUAAUGUUCUCUUACCUAAGUGAUUUUAGAAGCUAAUGGAAACCCGUUCUGUUAAACAGAUAGAAGGACCUGUAAUCUCUUCCCUCUUAGUAUCUGCAGUAGUUUCUAAAGUUUUCAUUUCCUGGGAGGAUGGAUGCAGACUUCUUGGAAAGAGGGACCUUAUUCUGCCCGAUUUGUUUUUACUGUGCAUGGUGUUUCUGCAGUAGUUUAUUUUGUAGCUUUCAGGAUUAUCAGCUGUCCAGACUAUCUUGUCAGCAAAGAAAAAAAUAGAAGAAAUUCCAGACAAAGCCUCCCCAUUUUCCAUUUUCAUCUGUGAAGAGUUUGGUAGACAUAUUAAGAAGUAACAAAGAAUAUCUAAGCAGCCCUGUACUAAUUGGUGCUGCAACAAUGUUUUUAAUGGGUUCCCGUGGUUCUUAGAGAGGAGGUCCUUCAUGCGGAUACCCUGUAUCCCCGUGGCCACAGAGGAAUCCAAGCAUCAGGGAGGGUAUCCACUUAACCUGCUUGGGUCAGUCUGUUUAUCAAUAUGCUAUUUCCCUAAUUAUUCAAAGAUUCCGUCCUGUGUGAUAUGGGAAGAAUGUUUUAUUUUUUCCUUCAUGUUAAGAACUGGUUUUCAUCUCUCAGAUCUCUUUGAUUAUCCACCUGUUAUGUUUCUUCCUUCAGAAGAAAACUAAAGAAAAGUUCAAUUAUAUUAUUUUGCAUUACACUGGAAGAUCGAGUGUAAAGGGGGACAUUGUGUGAUGUCAGGAAAUGGUUCUUCAUGUUAGCGGAGUAAUUGCCCUCUGCUGUGGCUUUGUACCCCGGGAUACAGGGUGCCCUUCAACGCCCUCAGUGAUGAUGGGCAUAAAACAAAUUGCGAGCGGUGUGUGUAGUGAAUGUAGUGUGACUGCAUUUUUUAAUGUGUAAGUAGGCUUAGGUUUUUAUCCUCCUUAUCUUAAGCCCCCGUCAAGAUCAAACUCACUCGAGCAUUCACAUCCACAAUUGAAUCUCACCAGCUUUUUUUCUUUAAGUUAACAUCAGUUCAAACUCUCCCUACUGCUUCUGUCAAUAGAUCUUUUAAAGGCAGGCAUUAGAGUUAAGUUUGCCUUUAGUGUUUUCCCCCCACACUGCAUAACGUUGAGCCCAAGGGCUUCUUUUAAUAGGCAUUAGUUAAGGCCUAGAAUUGGGUAGACAUUUGUGAAGGAGACUUGAAGUUUGGAACAGAAUUGGUCUUUAUAGCUUUUCCAUGGGGGGAAAUCUUCUUAGGAGAAUAAAGGCUGCCUGCUAAUCUGCUACCAUCUGGAGAAUGAAGAAGCCAGAGGUUGUUGGCACCAGGUCACAUCCCUUAUGUAAACUGUCAAAUUCUUUUCAUAUUAAUGGCAUAUUGAGUUUAAUCUGAGGGGUAUCAGACAGAGCUUAUUUAUUGAUACUCUCUCUCUCUCUCUCUCUCUCUCUCUCUCUCUCUCCUCUUGCUGACAUAGUUUCUAAGUAUUGUUACAAUAUGAGAGUAUUGUAACACAGUGUAGCUUAAAAAAAAAAAAACCAGAACAAGGUUGGCUUCCUGAGAGAUGGCGGACUUCCCUUGUGCUAGCACAUGGCUUACUGUUGUGAUGUUUGCAGAGGUGAAUAACCUUCUCCACGGCUUGUCCAGCUGAUAGCCACUGUACUUACCCCACAUUUGAAAUAAAGAGAGGCUGAUUCUGGCUUUCCUAGAGAAUGCAUGUGUGAACAUGGAUGUGCAGUUUGGAGCCUUUGGACACGUGGAGCAACUGAAGUCAUCCCAAGUCUUAUGGGGGUCAUCUACUGUCUAAGUGGUAACCAGUAAAAGUUCUUUGCAUUUGAACAUAAUUAUGAGAACCUCUGGCUUCCUGUAGACACAGGGUCAGGUAAACUACAGGUGUCUUGAUAACUCUAUUCAGAGAAGAAUUAUUCCCCAAACGGGUACAGAUUGAUCGGGUUCAUUGUAAAAUUGCUCAGUUCCCCCCUCUUAUAAAUAAAAAUCAGCCCACAUUGUCAUUCUCACAGCUUUUGGUAGGUAAACAUUUCCCUCAUCAAGCUAUUCCUGGGGAUGCCUGCCUACAGGACCAGCUAAGGCAAGAGGUGAAUAAAAUACACUCUUGAAUUAAAUAUUGUCCCACAUCGGACAUGGGGACAAAAACACACCUGACGGUCAGCAAGCGUUCUUCGAACUAGCACAUACAAGGAUAACUAUAAACUGUUUCAUUUGGGUAGUCUUCCACUUGCAGAAGAAACACAAAGAACUGAAAACUAAAAAUUUCAGCAAACUGGAUCCAAUAAAGAGCAAACAACCCGUUUCGAUGUAUGGCAGUGUCUUUAAAAUUCAGAAAUAAGGGAUCCCCCCCCCACCCCCCCCACCCCCGGUCCUGUAUUCCAUGGGCGUUUCUUCUUACCCCUUGGUUUCGUAUGUAAACUAGAAAAUGAAAACCAGACCCAGUGACCCAAAGGGGAUGAAGCAUGUUUGUUUUGUCUAUUAUAUUUCUCUGCUCACGCCUAGAUGCCUUGCAUCCCUGUCCCCCGUGUUUGAAGUCGAGAGCUGGGAACAGACAUGAGAUUGAGGUCCCAGGGGGAAGCCAAGUUCAGCCUGAGCUGGUGAACUCUCGGAGACUAAGGGCAUAUAACUCCGAGCUAAAGACGCUCAAGUAUGACGUUUCUGUCAGGAGUGCAGAGACCCGUGUGCCUCCACAAACAGGUUUUCUUUGUGGUAGUCUGAACCAGCUGAGCGCCGUGGCAAUUUUCCUUGAGUAACUAGUUCCAAUGGACGACAGCGAGUUUAAACACGAGCCCCAGAUUACAAAGUGUUUUCUGCCCAAAGUGUUUUGCUGGAAUUUUUUUUGGGGGGGGGGAGACGACGGGGGGGGGUAGUGUGCCAAUAUUGUGAAACAUUAGCAGGGUUUUGUAAGAGGCCAAACAUAGGACAAAAUAGGUGAGAGGGGAAAGCGGAGACACUGGAAGAGCAGCUCAUGAAAAAAUGUCUGUGCACCUAGUAGCUCGCAAAGAAAUAGGGGGUAAGUGGGGGAUGGCGUGGGAACACAAGGCUGAUUUUAGGUCACUCGCUGGCAAGGUGUUCUGUCUACUGUUCGAAUGGGUUUUAAUCCUAGGCUGCUGUGUCAUGUGCUUGGGACCUUAAGUAAUUACUAUUAAGAAUGUCACAAUAAACCGGAGCCAUUAGAAGGAUAGUGGAGAUUUAGUCCCAUAGUCAAGCGCUAUAAACAUGUGAGUGUAAUUUAGGAAUCCUUUCUGCGGCUGGGCCCCAUAAAAUGGCCUCUUUCCUCCCUGGCUUUCCAACGUCUCACCUGCAAAGCAGUAAUCAGCGUAGUCAUUCUUUCCAGCCGCCUUGUAAUUUAUCUGACUGCAGAGAACCGUGACGGAGGUAGAUUGUGGUUGGGGCGGUGACCCGCACCUUUUGCUCUUUUUGUGUGCUUUGCGAGGGACUCGCCCAUCUAACCCUGCCGGAUUCUCUGUGCUGUGCAAGCAAUUCUGCCUUCUCUGGAGAGAGACCAAGAGGCGGAGUUCAGAGUGGCGGCCAGCAGGGGGCGCCCUUGCCAGAUAAGAACAGUUUUUUUUUUUUUUUUCUUCCCCCAAUACCAACAUAGCACAAACAUCACACAGUCGCUAUCCUGUCCUUUUAAAUUAAUUUGGCUCAAGAUUGGCCCCCAGAAACAUUUUGCUUUGUGUUCCCAGCUCCCGGGCCACACCUGUCUGACAAGUUCUUCCACAUCACUGUUUCCAGCUUCCAUCACCUUAGCUGCCAAAUGGUCACCUUUUACUUAGAAACUGGAGAGUGGUUUUUUUUCUCUCUUUCUAUAUCACAGGUCAAGCUGAAGGGCACAGUCACCUGCAGGGAAUGGGACCAAGUAUGUUCACUGAGCAUUUUGCUGUUUUACAUGAGCUCACCAAGAAAGAAUGUCUCUACGAGGGAAGGAAAAACCUGUUUCCUUAGAGUGGCCCACAGCUUGUUUUCUCUUGUCAGGGUGAUAGCUCUUUGGUUCCUGCCAGUGGGUAUACACUGGGAAAGGUGGGAAAAGAUCCUGAAAAUUCCAGGGGUGGGCGAUUCUUCUAGCUGGGAGGACAGUGUCUGAUUCCUAAGGGUGACUCAGUACAGUAAUUCUGACAGUCUAAACAGCACGCACACACACAAAUACAUGAGUGUGAAUGUGUGGUAGAUGACAGUCUAUCAGGGUGGUGACUAGAGGAAGCAUUUUGUUUCUUAAAAGCUUGGCUUCCAUGAACUUGGUGCUGGACCUUUAUUGGAUAAAGUCCUCCCACCCAGCCAGACAGCCAGACGUCUGCACAGGAAGAGUUCCCAGUGCACACCAGGGCCUGUUACCACAAUCUAAUGCUUUAUCGGGAGAGCCUUUUCUCGACUGCCCGAGCCACUAGGAUCCUGUGCCCUCUGCUCUGCUGGAGGACGAGCUGCCCUGACACUAGAACGACUGCCACUCUGGCUGAGGUGAGGUGGAGGGCAGAACCUGCAGCAGGGGAUGCUGUACUCUGCUUCAGGCUCUGAGCCCUCCUCUGCUCCCCAUCCUCUGAGGCUGGCUCCAGUUUUCAGCUAGUCCUCAGGCAGCCGUGAUUCGCAAAUCACUGCUUCCUGUUACACAUUCUAAAAGGGAAAGAACACAAGGACCUUGAGAGCAGGUACUUAGCGCCGAGGCAGCAAGGUGAACUCAUUGAGUCUCGGGUAGCUUUCAGGAGUCUGUGCGCAGUGAGUUUGUUCAGAUGUUUAGUAGUUGGCAGUUAUUUGAGGACAUGACGUUUUCUUGCUUUUCAGCCCCUUGCAAGUCUUUAACCAUUUCAGCUAUCUAAAGAGAGAGUCACAACUCCUUUAUCUGUUGGUUCUAGUUUGCUCAUGUAAAUGGCCUGGUUAAGGUAGUCACACAUGUGCAAAAUAAGGCCUCAGAAUUAGUUUACUAAAAAAAAAAAAAAAAAAGAAUGGCAUUUAUUUUCUGUCCCGGCACCCUGCUACUAACAGAGUCAUUUAAUGCCUGCUUCUCAAGCUCUUCUUCAUUUUAGAAGUCAUCUUUAGAUGAUGUCUUUCCCUAAGCCUCAUUGUUCAUGAGUUAUAUUGUGAAUCCAUUUGGACACUGACCAGGAACUUGGUAUAAUUGCUCACACACAAGUAAAAGCUUUCUCUGUGUAUUAAUUAGUUGAUAUAAGGGAUUAAGAUGGUUACAGGAAAGGCCUUGCUGCUUCCCCGGGAAUAGUUAGGCCAGGUGGGUGCCAAGGCUUUGUCCGAUCCCAUUUGCUCAGCAGGUUCCCUUGAUGAAGGCACAGAACAUGUACAGCAGCGGGACUCCAUGAGGCAGGAAAACACAGGGUCUUUUGGAUUCACUGUUUCUGUUGAUAUGAAAUGUGGAGUAUUAAUCAAGACUAAUUACAAGCACUGAGUUUAGAACAAACUGGAGGGCAGCUCAGGGCAUGGUUAUAUCUGUAAUCAUGGGCUGUAAGGUACCAGGAUAAUUACUAGAAAUUAGAGGUCCUUCAGUUUUGGGUCUUCUCAAAAAUACAGGAAGAGUUUCUCUCCCCUACCAGGAGCUGGGCCUCUGCUCUGAACUUGUGUUAAACAGAUACAACAUCUUUGAAAUAUGCCUUACACACACUGUGUCAAAAUUUAGAAGUUAUAGAAAGAAUCCAGAUAGUUCUAGCCUAUCCUUCUCCUCUUUUGAACUUGAAAUAAAAGUUGGAAUAUAUUUGGUUGGGGUAGAAUUUAAUAGUUCAGUGCCCUUUACUCAAAGACUGUUUCGUGGAAUAUUAUAUUUUUUUAAAAAGAAAAUAUCUACAGUCUUUUAUAUGAAUAAGUUUACCAUCACGUCUUUUAUUUGAAAAACAGUAGUGUGUAAUUGUUUCACAGUGUGGGUUUCAGACUGUAGCUGCCAUUUCUGUGGUGGCCCCUGUGUUUUUAGAGGAACCUCCACAUGCCUUUAAUCCCAACACUUGGGAGGCAGAGGCAGAGGCAGAGGCAGAGGCAGAGGCAGAGGCAGAGGCAGAGGCAGAGGCAGAGGCAGAGGCAGAGGCAGAGGCAGAGGCAGAGGCAGGCAGAUUUCUGAGUUCAAGGCCAGCCUUGGUCUACAGAGUGAGUUCCAGGACAGCCAGGGCUACACAGAGAAACACUGUCUCGAAAAACCAAAAAAAAAAAAAAAAAAAAAAAAAUAAUAAUAGUAAGAGGAGCCUUCUAAAAAGCCACCUGCAAGAAGAGGAAGUAAGGGGGUGGGGAGAGAAGAGAAGGGGAGGGAAGGGGUUCAUCUCAAGUGUAGGAAGCUCCGCAGCCAGGUUGCCUGCAGUCUGUUGCAGGUCUGUGUAGGUCUGUGUAGGUCUGCAGUCCGUCCUAACCGCACUAAUGUCUGUGCUUAGAGAAGAAGCACAAAACUCUUGGCCCUGGCCCCACUUCUGCCCUCAAGGACAGGACCCCUGGCUCUUGUGGCUGUCGUCUUGUGUUCACGACAGCUGCUGUCUAAUUUGCCAGGAGGUUUUUAUGAGAAGUUCUUAAAGGAAAUGUCAUUUCUGUUAACUUCAAUGGAGUUGGCUUUGGCUGUGAGCAGUCGGAGCUCUGACUUAUAUGUGCACUUGGGCCCAGACUGGCAUUAAGUGGAUGAGCAGAGACUUAAAGGUACAUAUGUACCACCCUCAUGCUGGCACGAAACACAGUGGCAUGCUUUAUGAGUGUGUGUGUGUGCGUGUGUGUGUGUGUGUGUGUGUGUGUGUGUGUGUGCACACGCACAUGUGCUCAUGCUUAAGCUUAGAGAAAGGACUAGGUCAGUAGGCUGCAGGGAAUUGUGGGAGAACUAGCAAUUUUUAUGACAUCCUCUUUUGUCUUGACAUGUCUAGAAACAGGUGGAUUUAUAAGAACACAGAGGGCUUAUACUAAUUUUAUAAAAGUGAAGGGCUUUACAUCUAAGAUACACUCAAUUUGUUUACUUGCGUGUGCGUUUGCUUGCUUGUUAUUUGUGGUGCUGCAGGUUGAGCCCAGGUUCUUGAACUUGCUGUGUAAGUAUACCAUUUCUUCACUAGGCUCCAAGCCUGUAUGGUUGAAUUUUACCUACUUCGGAAGUAGCUGAUUUCAGCCUCACACAGACUCGGACCUCUAAUAAAUUCAGGCUUAUUCAUGUU